GUCCCUCCCAUGGCACAAUGGGUGAGUGCGUAUGGCUGUUAACCGGAAGGUUGGUGGUUCAAGGCCACCCAGGGAUG